AACCCGCAACCUCAUGGUUCCUAGUCGGAUUCGUUAACCACUGCGUCACGACGGGAACUCCUAAACAUUUUUGAAUUCCAUUCCAAAACGGCAGACUAGAGACAAUGUUUUGAUUCUGUAUAACUGAAAAUCUGAAGAAAUCAUUUCAAUUUAUAACCAAACCACACUGAGUUCAAUAAUGCCCCACCCCCACAAAGAUAUCCACAACCUAAUCCCAGAAACUUGGAAUAUGUUACCUUUAUUACAUAGCAAAAAAUAUUAAAGUAGCUAAUCCACUGACCUUCAAAUGGGGAGAUUAUCCUGGAUUAUGCAGGUGGGUACAAGGUAGUCACGUGGACCCUUAAAGAUGGUAGAUGUGCAGAAUGCAUGGUAAGAAGGACUCACGUCCACUGUUGCUGGCUUUGAAGAUGGAGGAAGAGGCCAUGAGCCAAGGAACGUGGUACCCAUAGAAGCCGAAGAGUCAGGGAAACGAAUUCUCCUCUAGAGCCUCCAGAAAAGAAUGUAGCCUGGCCGACACCUUGAUAUCAGCCGCUGACACCUGGGAACAACUUCUAAUUUACAGAACUCCAAGAAAAUAAGAUUGUAUUGUUUUCAGUCUCAAGUUUAGGGUAACUUUUUAAGGCAGCAAAGGGAAACUAUUACAGCCACCCAGUUUUUAAACCCAUUCCUCUGUUGUUAGAAUCUGUCACUUGAGGCAGAAUCCUCCCUGAUAGAAACCUAAGAUGCUUUUUCCCAGCCUCCCUUGCACUGAGUAAGAGCACGGGGCCACGGACCCCAUGUCUACCAAUUACAUGCACCUGCAUGGCUGUAAAAGCCAUACGCCUGGGGCCCUGGACUUCGGGAGAUGCUAGGAGCCUUAACAAGUUCCUUUUCUGCUAAAUUAGCUAGAGGUGGGUUUUUUGGCUUGUGACUCAGAAGCCUCAGUGAACCAGGUAUAAACAGUUUUUUCAAAAGGAAAAAGAAAUUGUCAAAGUCAGGAGAGGUAGUUUACCAUCACUGGUAGUCAAACUCAAAUUAAGCUCAAUAUGCAUAUCACAAUCACUAAAAAUAAAAAGCAUUCAUUUUGUGGCAAGAAGGUUACCUUUGUUUACAACUAGUAACUAAAUGGAUGUGUUGUUUGGAAAGCUGUAAUAGGAAAAUGACGUAAAAUCUGCAAACGUAUUCUUAACUUUUGACCUAGCAAUUCCCAAGAAAAUAGGGCAAACAUGUGGAAAGCUGACAAUUAUUGAUAUGUUUGUGUGUGAGAGAGAGAGAGAGCGCGAGAUUACUGAUGCGGGUUUAACAUUUGUUGGGGAUGAUAAAAUUUGCAUUAGGAUCCUAGAAGAUUUUAUGGAGUCGAGGGAUAAAGACCCAGUUUCCUGAAAUGUAAAGUCCCUGAAGCUGUCAGGGUAGCCAAGGUCAAGACCCAGAGCUGGGGGAGUUCCCAUUGUGGCUCAGCAGGUUAAGAACCCAACAUAGUGUCCGUGACGAUGCAGGUUCGAUCCCUGGCCUCACUCAGUGGAUUAAGGAUCCGGUGUUGCUCCGUCAUAGGUUGUACAUGCAGCUCAGAUCUGAUGUUGCCAUGGUGGUGGUGUAGGCCGGUAGCUGCAGCUCUGAUUCAACCCCUUAGCCCAGGAACUUACAUAUGCUGCAGGUUCGGCCCUUAAAAAAAAGGCCCAGAGCUGGAAAGAGCAAUGAAUCCCCAGGGAGAUUAUUUCCACAAAAGGUGGAAAAAGACAAGCUUACAAGGUCAUUGCUGAAACUCGGCCUCUGUCUACCAGUGCCAAAUAGAAACUUUAAAAACUCAGAGUUUUGGGUGGAGUGGAAAAAGAGUAGCUUUCAUUGCUUUGCCAGCCAAAGAACAUAGCAGGCUAAUGCUCUAAAGACUGUGCCCUUCUUUGGGAGAGAACAGGAAGCUGUCUUAUAGUUGGUAAGUGGAAAAUAGGACCACAGAUAAGGAUCAGGAUAGAUGCAAACUUGCAUUCUUCUUCAAAGCUGCUGUCAGGUGGUGCAUGGCACAGGUUCUGGGGUCCUUGGGGCUCUCGCACCAGUACCUUCUUUCUGGAACGAAGAAUGCUUCAUCAAGUAGUUAAUACCUUCCAUUUGUUGGGGGUUUUAGUUUGGCAGAAGAGCUCAAAGACAUUGUUACACAUGUUCCUUGAGGAGAAACCAGGACAAGAGUGCUCCUCCCUUUUCUCGGCAUCCCCUCCCUUCCCUGAUUAGCAACUGUCUGAACCUGGCCUUUGGAACUCAGGGAAGAUCAUGAAGGCUGAAUGAGGCCUUUUUCCUAGAGACAAGAAAUGGGGAACACAGAAAGCCUUUUGUGCCCAGGAACUCCACGGGGUCCUGGUUGGUUUCAAGGUGUGUACCCUGCACGUAGACAGGUGAUUAGAGGGGAGUAAGGUCUGUGAAGUGGCUUUACCUGGAGGGAGUUUAUGCCACUGUACAACUGCUGUUGGAAAGAUCCAAGUCAGAGCUGUAAUUUGGGGAAUGCAAUCCUCUUUGAGUGAUCUUAUUACUAAAACUCUAGCAUUUGGGGAACAUUUUAGUAACUGGUGGUGCAUCAGUCCAAAAUAGCCCUUGAAAUAAGAACCACAAAGUCUCUGCAGAAAAAUGGGAAAAUAUACCUAAUGUAAAUUCAAGUGAAAAUACUAUACAGAAUAAGUACAUGUAUAUUUAACUGUGUAGGAUUAUAUUGCAUGUGGAGAGUGGAGUUAUUAGAGAACUGUAAAAAUCUUUAGAAAUGCUUUUAUUAUACUCUUUCCUAUUAAAAAUGUCACAUCUCUUAUCAAUGUUUCACUAAGUUAAUUUAUGAAUUAACCAAACACCUGUCUCAGAAACCUUUUUUUUUUUUUCUUUUGAAGUAAGCUUCUUCCCCCACAAAAAAUUGCGAUUUAUCUGUUUCUUUGGCCUGGGUACGGCUCCCUUUCCACGCAACACCCUAUUUCUUACAAACUUUCCAUCACUGGCGGGAGGUCUUGAAAUGCAAGGAUCCUUAAUCCAUUCAUACAUUUGACAAAUAGAAAUCUAACACCUUCUGUGUGUUUAGCCUUAUCCACUGCAUUCUUCUGAAAAACAGGGGUCUAACUGAAAAGGAUAGGGUAGGAUAGUUACACAGGUAGUUGUGUAAGUCCCAGUAGGGGACCACAGAUAGAGAGGGAAACCUAGGGGAUUUUGGGAGGUCACUGUAAGUUAAUGAUCACUCAGGAAAGCCAUCAGAACAUUGUGGAAUGAAGAAGGCUUGCUUAGCUAUAAAACCAUACAUAAAAACAUGAGAUUGGCCUCAGGUUAUUAAAUGAAAGAUAAAAUAGGGCUGGCAUUCAAGUUCAGCUAGAUAACGAUCCUUAGGACCGAGGACAGGAAUUUAAGGGAAAGAUGGCAAUCCAAAGCGGAGACUCAUUAUACGGAGUCGUGAGAUGAUUCAACAUAUUUUAGCAUAUGUUACCACCCUUCUGCUGAUUAGAAUAAAUGCCAUGACAGUCCUUGUUUGACCUCACAUGGUCAGAUACUCUCUUACCUGCUACGAAGGAGAAGCUAAUGAUGUAAGUCCGAUGUCUACUUGAAGAAUGAGGAAGAAGCCGGUCUUUUCCCACUCCCCAUUUUCCUUGGAUUAUAAAAAUGUAGCCCACCAAAUCUUCAGGGCAGAGCCUCCUUGCCUGCUCACUUGUAUCUCUCACAAACAUCUUAUCUUAAUAAAUCUAUUUCUUGCCUGUCACUUUGUCUCUUGCUGAAUUCCUUCUGUGCUGAGACACAAAGAACCUGAACCUCGGUAAGUCCAGACGCCAGGUGAGUGAUUGUAAUUUAAAAAACCAUGGGUUCAGAGUUCUUAUUGUGGCUCAGUGAUAACAAACCCGACUAGUAUCCAUGAGGAUUCGGAUCUGAUCCCUGGCCUUGCUCAGUGAGUCAGGGAUCUGGUGUGGCCAUGAGCUGUGGCGUAGGUCUCAGAGGCAGCUCUGAUUCAACCCACAGCCUGGGAACCUCCAUAGCCAAGGGCAAAAAAAGGCAAUAAAUAAAUAAAUAAAUAUUAAAAACCAGGGGUUCCAGUCCCUAUCUGGUUUAGGCCGAGUCAGAGGUGUUUUAGUUUCAUUACAAAUAUCUUUUUCUGCCCCAGUGGCUGAAAGAGCAAUCCUGUCACAUUUUUAGACUGUACUUGAACAAAAUGGAUCUAAAGGAGGAGAUGAUGACUCGGCACCCAGAGCCCAGCCUCCCACCCCAGCCAAAGAGUCUUUCCCGCUCUGCUAGAAUGCAUAUGGGAUCCAGAGAGCAGGGACAGCAGUUGUUGCAGACCUACAGGGGGAGCUGACUGAACCCUGGAGAUGUGGUUGCAGGUCAGAGCUUGGAGGGAACUGAGCUGCAGGGGCUGAGGGAUGGAUGAAGCAGAAGAUGCACAGACAGUGGGGAAAGUCUGAAGUCAGAGCAAAGAGAAAUGACAGGAGUUGGAGACCAAGCGACCCUGGUCCCAGCAAAAGGGUCUUUUGUGCUCCACUAGUUCAGGGAGCUGGAAUGAUAGAUAACCUGACCCAUCCCAUCUGGAGCCCAGCGGUUCCUACAGCUGGUCUUCACAUUCUUUGGCUGUGAAAGGGAUGUAAGUCAACUUGUCCACACGCCUGUGGGAUGACCUUUUCUUCUUUUUUAACACCAAAUGUGGGUAUGGGUUUUAUGCCGAGCCAUGCUUCUUUCUGCCACGUUUCUGAAAUGACCAGGUACCCAGCCAGUGGAGGAGCCUUCCACCUUCCUUCCCUCCUUCCUCUCUGCUCUCCUUCCUUCUUCUCUUCCUUCCAAAUAUUUAGUGUGUCCCCACCAUGCUCUUCAUCUGAUCUUAAAAAAUUUUUUUUUUUUAUCUUAAAUUUGAUCAGCAGGUAGACAGCCCAAAUCUGGGCAGCUAGUGAUUUGUAAGGUUGAGUUCCGCAUUGAUUGCCUUUCUGCUGCAUACACAUGAGGCAGGCCCAUCUAAGCUCCAGGGUAACCUGGGUGCUGAGAACUCAGUGAAGAGCCAUGACUUUGGGAACCCAGACUCCGGUGGUUAUUUUGUGGUCCUAAAUCUGGUCAUUGUAAUCCUAAAAGCCCACCUUUACACCCAUGAAACCAUGGUUCCAUGUUCCAUGACCCCUGUUUCUCAGCCCAUAGAGAAGGGCAGGAAAAAAAAAUCUAGGUGAGGGACAUCAAGCAGCCCGUCAAUGUGAGAGAGACGGAAUUUGAAUUUCCAGUUGCUAGUUACACAAGUGCUUAACUCUCUAAGCCUGAGUUUCAUCCUCUGCAGAACAAGACAACCACCAUUAAUUACCUCACAGAGCUGCCACGAGGAUGCAGCAAGAUAAGGCAACUCAUGUGCUUAGCACACUGACUGGCACAACGCUGGCCCCAGUGUCAGCUGUUAUUAUUAACAAGACAGAGUCAUCCGUCUGGAGAAGAAGGGU
rnacentral:lncRNA from 1 species